rnacentral:rRNA from 1 species
AGUGAACGCUGGCGGUAGGCCUAACACAUGCAAGUCGAACGGCAGCACAGUAAGAGCUUGCUCUUACGGGUGGCGAGUGGCGGACGGGUGAGGAAUAAAUCGGAAUCUACUUUUUCGUGGGGGAUAACGUAGGGAAAAUUACGCUAAUACCGCAUACGACCUACGGGUGAAAGCAGGGGAUCUUUGGACCUUGCGCGAUUGAAUGAGCCGAUGUCGGAUUAGCUAGUUGGCGGGGUAAAGGCCCACCAAGGCGACGAUCCGUAGCUGGUCUGAGAGGAUGAUCAGCCAAACUGGAGCUGAGACACGGUCCAGACUCCUACGUGAGGCAGCAGUGGGGAAUAUUGGACAAUGGGCGCAAGCCUGAUCCAGCCAUACCGCGUGGGUGAAGAAGGCCUUCGGGUUGUAAAGCCCUUUUGUUGGGAAAGAAAAGCAGCAGGUUAAAACCCCGCUGUUCUGACGGUACCCAAAGAAUAAGCACCGGCUAACUUCGU